GGUUUUUAUAAAAAUUCCCGGGGAAAUUUUUUGGACUGACGCAGUGCUCAGCUUCUGGACGUUGCGUCGGAAAGUUUCAUGAACCUUAUCACUUAGAGGAAGGAGAAGUCGUAACAAGGUUUCCGUAGGUGAACCUGCGGAAGGAUCAUUC
rnacentral:rRNA from 1 species